rnacentral:rRNA from 1 species
AUGGAGUACCAGCCACUCGUCUCCGCGCUCGAUGCCCGCACCACGCCUGUCUCGCUCGAUGAUCUGUUUGCUAUGAUCAGCAACUUUGAUCAGCGGGUUGCCCUCUACCAAGGGGGCCACUCCGGCGGCGGCUUCAAGUCCUCCGCGAACGCGGCCAUGCGCGGCCGUGGUGGCGGCUCACGU